rnacentral:lncRNA from 1 species
AAGAAGGGGGCAUUAAGACAAUUAUUUUGUGGCUGUUUCUGUCUGUCAAGAAGGGGGCAUUAAGACAAUUAUUCUGUGGCUGUUUCUGUCUGUUAAGAAGGGGCAUGACGACAAUUAUUCUGUGGCUGUUUCUGUCUGUCAAGAAGGGGGCAUGACGACAAUUAUUCUGUGGCUGUUUCUGUCUGUUAAGAAGGGGGCAUUAAGACAAUUAUUCUGUGGCUGUUUCUGUCUGUUAAGAAGGGGGCAUUAAGACAAUUAUUCUGUGGCUGUUUCUGUCUGUCAAGAAGGGGGCAUUAAGACAAUUAUUCUGUGGCUGUUUCUGUCUGUCAAGAAGGGGGCAUUAAGACAACUAGAUAUCAUUGAGAUGGGAGCCAUCUCUGUGGGCCCCGCUGUCAAUAACGUGGGGUAAAUAAG